rnacentral:rRNA from 1 species
CUUCAACGGAGAGUUUGAUCCUGGCUCAGGAUGAACGCUGGCGGCGUGCUUAACACAUGCAAGUCGAACGAUGACCCGGUGCUUGCACCGGUGAUUAGUGGCGAACGGGUGAGUAACACGUGAGUAACCUGCCCUUAAC